rnacentral:rRNA from 1 species
GGAUCAAUAUAUCGGUCAUGCUUAGGUAUGUACUGGUAUUAUUGAUUUCUCCCUUCUGAAGAACCAUGAUGUCAUUAAUUUGAUGUCGUGGGGAAUCAGGACUGUUACUUUGAAAAAAUUAGAGUGUUUAAAGCAGGCUUUCGCUUGAAUACAUUAGCAUGGAAUAAUGAAAUAGGACGUUUGAUUCUAUUUUGUUGGUUUCUAGGAUCGACGUA